rnacentral:rRNA from 1 species
AACUUUUAACAACGGAUCUCUUGGUUCUGGCAUCGAUGAANNACGCAGCGAAAUGCGAUAAGUAAUGUGAAUUGCAGAAUUCAGUGAAUCAUCGAAUCUUUGAACGCACAUUGCGCCCCCUGGUAUUCCGGGGGGCAUGCCUGUUCGAGCGUCAU